UACUGCUGCUACCUGUAGCUUUUGCCGGGGUUGCUAGGGGAGUUAGCAGGAAAGGGUAGAGUUAGGGGACCUUUCAACGCUGUUUUCUAACGAAUGUGGUCUCGCUGUAUGGAUUGCGUGUAGACCUGGCUGAGAUUUGAUCACAAUGCGACACAGUCCACCUCCACAUGUGCUGUAGCCCUUUGCUGUUUAAGAGCUGGAGGCCAUUGUCAAUACUGAAAAGACUCAGUAGGAGAAAACAACAAAUGGAUGGGAGAGAAAGAAAGGAACCCAUGAACUCCAGCACUUGACUGUCUGAUCAGCCCGAGGAGACAGAUGCUAAUUGGAGGUGACCAUCUCUCAGCACUGACAUGGAAAUGAGACACAACAGAGGAUGCAGACAGAUCGGACAGAUGGUCAAAAAUGGAUGGUAGAGGAAGGUGAAUAGCAGAUGUGACUUCAAUGAGCCAUGCUGCAUUCCAUCUAUUCAUUUCCUCUCUGACGAAAAGAUUUACAGAAAAAAGCCCGGACAACGAGAAUAUCUAGAUUCUCCUCAGCACUCAGGGGAAGGACUCACUACACUGCUGCGGCUCCCUGUCAUCCAACACUGUAGGCAUGGCUUCGUCUUCCUCAACUGCCAUGGAAGGUCACGGGUACGGAGCCGAUCUGAUCACACUGUAUAUGUCAGAGAGCCUGCGAAUUGUCAUUAUUCAUGAAUUCACAGCAGUGAGAGUCGGGCCUCUGGGUGCCACAUGCCUCAGGAGGAGGACAGGAAAGAUCCCAGAGGAGCAGAGUUCAAAGCCAUCAGCUGCCCUGACUGAGACCACAACUGGGAGAUUUCUUAACUGCUUUCCAGUCUGUGUGUGCAUAUGUACUGUGUGUUGGUAAUGUUACAUGAGGAUAAAGGUAUGAGAGGGGGCAAAAUCUCAUCAAGUUAUAUGUAAGUCGAAUUUGUUUUGAAAUCCUUUGGGAUUUUUGAUGCCACUGUUUGAACAUGUUGGUUUUUAUUCUGCUGUAUUCCACGAUGACCCCUUUUGCAGGAACACAAACAUGACUAUGAACAAAAAUCUGCAUCAAAUCAAUUUUUCCAAGCCCAACAGAAGGAGGAUUUUUUUCCUCAGUUAAUUAGUGCUGAAACGUUACACGAACAAAAAGUCCUCCAAACUAAGGUCAAAAUAGGUCACAUUUGUCAUUCCCUACCAAAAAAAUCCAUUUGAGCAUUUUUGGAUCUUACUGGAGGAUCACUUCCAGUGUGAUGGUUAAAGAAAUACUUCAACAUUUGGGGAAACCCACUUAUUUGCUUUCUUGCUGAGAGUUAGAUGAGAAGUUCAAUACCACUCUCAUGUCUGUACAGUAAAUAUGAAGCUACAGCCAGCAGCCAUUUAGCUGUAAAACCACAAGCUGCCUUCUCAUCUAACUUUCGGCUAGAAAGCUAAUAAGUGUAUUUCCCUGAAUGUAAAAUUAUUCCUUUAGGGUUCAGUUAAGCUGAAGAAAAACUUUGUGGUCUUAGCAAAAAGAAGUUUGUAUGGCAACCAACAACCGUACCACAAGCAAAAAACUAAAGCAGCUUUGCUGAUGUUGCUACAGGUUACUUUUGAAAGAUAAAUAGUAGGGGUGCAACUAAUGAUUAUUUUUAUUCUCCAUUAAUCCUUUGAUUAAUCAUUUGGUCUGUUAAAUUUCAGAAAAUGGUUAAAAAUGCCUGUUAUAAUUUCUCACAAAACAAGUCAGCCAGCCUUAUCUCAUCAUCACACUGAGGCUCCACCUCUCUACUAUUAGCCAAUGAUUUCACAGGGUUCUGUGCUAACUUAAACCACCUUACCAAUGUUUUCUCGCUCACAACUUUGCCCCUCAAUCAGCCCCAUCUCCCUCUUGGGAUCUCAGAUUGGCUGCUUUUCAUAGGCCUCUAUCCCUAUACAUCUUUUUACUCCACCGGGUCAAUGCCAAAG